rnacentral:rRNA from 1 species
GUCCACGCCCUAAACGAUGAUGACUAGUUGUUGGAGGAGUUAAAUCCUUUAGUAACGCAGCUAACGCGAGAAGUCAUCCGCCUGGGGAGUACGGUCGCAAGAUUAAAACUCAAAGGAAUUGACGGGGCCCGCACAAGCGGUGGAUGAUGUGGUUUAAUUCGAUGCAACGCGAAAAACCUUACCUACCCUUGACAUGUACGGAAUCCUGCAGAGAUGCAGGAGUGCCCGAAAGGGAGCCGUAACACAGGUGCUGCAUGGCUGUCGU